rnacentral:rRNA from 1 species
AGGACGAACGCUGGCGCGUGCCUAACACAUGCAAGUCGAGCGAAUGAAGUUCCUUCGGAACGGAUUUAGCGGCGGACGGUGAGUAACACGUGGGCAACCUACCUCAUAGAGGGGAAUAGCCUUCCGAAAGGGAGAUUAAUACCGCAUAAGAUUGUAGUACCGCAUGGUACAGCAAUUAAAGGAGCAAUCCGCUAUGAGAUGGGCCUGCGGCGCAUUAGCUAGUUGGUGAGGUAACGGCUCACCAAGGCGACGAUGCGUAGCCGACCUGAGAGGGUGAUCGGCCACAUUGGGACUGAGACACGGCCCAGACUCCUACGGGAGGCAGCAGUGGGGAAUAUUGCACAAUGGGGAAACCCUGAUGCAGCAACGCCGCGUGAGUGAUGACGGCCUUCGGGUUGUAAAGCUCUGUCUUCAGGGACGAUAAUGACGGUACCUGAGGAGGAAGCCACGGCUAACUACGUG